AUAAUAAUACUUUCAGUUAUUAUUAUAAUAUAAUAAUAAUAGUUAUAUUAUAUAUAUAUAUGAAUCCAGCAGAUUAUAAUAAUAGUUAUAUAUUAUAUACAUAUAUGAAUCCAGCAGAUUAAAGAAGAUAAAGACGCGACUGAGAGAGAGAGGAAGAAGCGAUCGAUCGCAAUCGCGAGGGAGAGAAGGUGAGAGAGAGAGCUCGUCGAAGUCGAAGGGCGACUGGAUCGUCGAAGUCGAAGGGGAUGGAGGUCACCGGCGAGUCGACUGGACUGGAUCGAAGUCCAGGUUUGUUUCAAGACCUUUACUCUUCUCCUUUACUCUUCUUCUUUGCUCUCUGUGUCCAGAUUUGGACACGCGUGUCCAGAUUUGGUGGACACGCUUGUCUCCGCCGUGUCUCCACCGUGUCCCCUGCAACAAAAUAAUUAAAUUAAAGGGACACGCCACCCGGCGUGUCCCGUACGUGUUCCCGUGUCCCCGGUGUGUCCCCGUGUCAGACACUGCCACGGCAUGAAAUCUGCCGUGUCCAUGCUUCAUAGGAUAGGAGUUGGCCAAAAAGGCCCUAUUUCUAUGCGUCCUCUCUCUAUUUAAGAAACUCGUCAAUAGCCUCUCCCUCUCAAUCAUGAAGAGAUCUAAUAAAUUGUGGUUCCAUGCCAAACCAGAGUCUGAAACCCUUAAGUAGUCAGCUACCAUAUUAUCCUAGUUCACUGCAAUACUGAAGAGCUCAAGAAAUGCCACCAAUAGGGGGAUAUCUCUGUACCAAGUCAUGCCAAAACCAAAUCCUCUACAUAAGAUAAGACACAUGUCACAUGC